GCUUCUAUAGUUCAGUUGGUAGAACGACUGAUUUGUAAUCAGUAGGUCGCUAGUUCAAUCCUAGCUAGAAGCUCCA
rnacentral:tRNA from 1 species